GACCGGAAAUGUCUACGACUGAUGGACUCUUCAAGUGUUGAGACAGAAGAUGACGCAAAUGUUCAUCAAUCAAGGCCGCGUAGACGCCCAAGGAGAUUCAAUUCAGACUCCUCUAGUGAUGAUGAUUCCAAUCCAACGGCAAGAAAGCAGUCCAGGACUGUGGGUAUGUCUGGAAGCCCUGUGGGUCAGCAGAUUUCUCUGCCUACACCACCGGCAUGUAAG